GACGGGGGGGCGAAGUGUUCUUCGGAAUGACUGGGCGUAAAGGGCACGUAGGCGGUGAAUCGGGUUGAAAGUGAAAGUCGCCAAAAACUAGGUGGAAUGCUCUCGAAACCAAUUCACUUGAGUGAGACAGAGGAGAGUGGAAUUUCGUGUGUAGGGUGAAAUCCGCAAAUCUACGAAGGAACGCCAAAAGCGAGGGCAGCUCUCUGGGUCCCUACCGACGCUGGAGUGCGAAAGCAUGGGGAGCGAACGGGAUUAGAUACCCGCGUAGU
rnacentral:rRNA from 1 species